rnacentral:lncRNA from 1 species
AAAAUGAACCAAUCAAAUAUCUUUUUAUUAAAUAAUAUCAAUUCGCGUUUUGCCGAAAGCGGGGAUUACGGAUUAAAAACAUGCUUCGUAUAAGUUUGUCAAGAAUGGCUUUCGGCAGUUAUCACUUAGUGUCAAAUUAUCUAUAUUCUUUAUUACAAAACCUUUUAUCUUAAAGACGGAUAUAAAUCUUUGAUAAUUAAUCUAAAUGAAAGGAUUAUAGUUAAGUGUAAAAUACAAGUAACUUUUGAAUAGCGUAAAAUACAAUAAACUAAUAAAUUAUUAAAACGCAAUAAGGACUCGGAAUAAUAAUAAAAAGCAUAGAUUAAAGAAAUAUACAAAAUCCUAAAUGUGAACUUUGAACGAACAAUUGUCGGGUCAUA